rnacentral:rRNA from 1 species
GACGAACGCUGGCGGCGUGCUUAACACAUGCAAGUCGAACGGAAAGGCCCUGCUUUUGUGGGGUGCUCGAGUGGCGAACGGGUGAGUAACACGUGAGUAACCUGCCCUUAACUUUGGGAUAACUUCAGGAAACUGGGGCUAAUACCGGAUAGGAGCUCCUGCUGCAUGGUGGGGGUUGGAAAGUUUCGGCGGUUGGGGAUGGACUCGCGGCUUAUCAGCUUGUUGGUGGGGUAGUGGCUUACCAAGGCUUUGACGGGUAGCCGGCCUGAGAGGGUGACCGGCCACAUUGGGACUGAGAUACGGCCCAGACGCCUACGGGAGGCAGCGGUGGGGAAUAUGGCACAAUGGGCGGAAGCCUGAUGCAGCAACGCCGCGUGCGGGAUGACGGCCUUCGGGUUGUAAACCGCUUUCGCCUGUGACGAAGCGUGAGUGACGGUAAUGGGUAAAGAAGCACCGGCUAACUACGUG